AAAUCCCCCUUUCUGAGCCCAUUUUGGACGCGUGGCUGACCCAAAAUCCCUCUUUGAGCCCAUUUAGCGACGGGGAAGCGCGCUGGACCCCAAAUCCCUCUUUCUGAGCCCAUUUUGCGCUCUGACCCCAAAACGCCAUUUCUCGUGCCCGUUUCGUGCUGGGGACAGGAGCAUGACCCAAAAUCGCGCUUCCUGAGCCCGUUUUUGCGCCGGGGACGCGCGGCGCCGGAUAGAAACUACUAAAAAACCCCCAAAGCGCCCCAAACUACGCGGGGUGGGGGCGGGGCGCGCGCCUUCUCCCCGUGCGUCCGCAGGUCCCGAAAAGCGCCGUUUUACCAAAAACUCCCCAAAGCGCCCCAAAAAACGCAUCGCCUCGGAGCCGCGCGGAGAGCCCCGAUGCCGCCGGGUGGCUUUUUUGGGUCAGUUUCACGGACAUUUCGGUAACUUUGGGGCGGCUCAGCCCCCGACGCCGGCGUAGGGAAAGGCCGGUUUUUGGCGUUGGCGGAAAUGGGCGUUUUUGGGGGCGGUUUUGGGGCGCGGGGGUGUCGCGAUUGCCUUCCAGGAGGUGGCGGCGCGGCCGGACCCGCGGCGGAGGCAGCAGGUGAUGAUCACGUUUUCUUCCUUUCCCCAAAACCUCUCCAAAUCGCCCCAAAAUUGGAGCUCGGCCGCCCCCCAGUUAAAGCCAACCCCGCCAAACCGAACCGCACCCACCGGUGUCACCACACGGUGUCCCACAAUGGGGCGUGGGGCCCCCCCGGCUUCACGCCCGCCCCCCCACACCCCCAAAUUGGGUAAAAACACAGCAGAAAAGGGGUCGGGUCUUGGGGGGGGGACCCCAGGAUGCCCGGGGGGGCCCAAAUUGCCCCCAAUCUCCCCCCAAAUCCCCCCUUCCUCCCCCCCG
rnacentral:misc_RNA from 1 species